rnacentral:rRNA from 1 species
GACGAACGCUGGCGGCGUGCUUAACACAUGCAAGUCGAGCGGAAAGGCCCUUCGGGGUACUCGAGCGGCGAACGGGUGAGUAACACGUGAGUAACCUGCCCUUGGCUCUGGGAUAAGCCCGGGAAACUGGGUCUAAUACCGGAUACGACACACUCUUGCAUGAGAUGUGUGUGGAAAGUUUUUCGGCUGGGGAUGGACUCGCGGUCUAUCAGCUUGUUGGUGGGGUGAUGGCCUACCAAGGCGACGACGGAUAGCCGGCCUGAGAGGGUGACCGGCCACACUGGGACUGAGACACGGCCCAGACUCCUACGGGAGGCAGCAGUGGGGAAUAUUGCGCAAUGGGCGGAAGCCUGACGCAGCGACGCCGCGUGGGGGAUGAAGGCCUUCGGGUUGUAAACCUCUUUCACCACCGACGAAGCUAACGUGACGGUAGGUGGGGAAGAAGCGCCGGCUAACUACGUGCCAGCAGCCGCCGUAACAC